rnacentral:lncRNA from 1 species
UUCAAAGAUGGACGACAACGCUAGGAAAACAAUUCAUUUUGUCAUUUGAAUUCACAGUUCUAAAACGUUAAAUUAAAAUCAUUUACAGGAGUGUUUUGCCAAAGUAACCACUAAGUUUUGCAACUAAGACAUCUUAUAAGUUAAAGACGACUCAAAAUUAUGUUUAAUCUGUAUGCAUUCAUUAAAAUUUGAUGCUAACUACUGAUUUGUUUUUACUUUUUUUCAUAAAAAAAUCUGGCCCCCGAUAAUCACACAGCGUUCUAAAAAUUACUAAUCUAUCUUAGGAUUUCUAAUUUUGUUUUUAAUUUAAUUAAAAAA